rnacentral:lncRNA from 1 species
CAAAGGUCUCAAAAGCUCAAUAUCUUCUGCUUUCUUCGGUCUACAAGCUGGAAGCCAAAACUAUUGACGCUUUAAAAGAAGAAUUUUCAUUUCCAGUGUACCCAAUUGGACCAACCAUUCCCUACUUUAACGUAUCAUCAAUUACUGAUCACAAUGGUCCCAAAUACUUUGCGUGGUUGGAAACUCAGCCUGUUGGCUCAGUUUUGUACGUCUCAUUGGGAAGCUUUUUAUCAGUUUCAAGUGCACAAAUGGAUGAAAUUAUAGCUGGUAUCCGCAACAGUGGCGUUAGAUAUUUGUGGGUGACAAGAGGUGAUACUUCUCGGUUUAAAGAUGGCCGUGCUGAUGAUCGGGGCAUUGUGGUGCCUUGGUGUGACCAACUGAGGGUGCUGUGCCAUGCUUCUAUUGGGGGAUUUUGGACUCAUUGUGGCUUAAAUUCAACUAUCGAAAGUCUUUAUGCUGGUGUCCCAAUGCUUACUUUUCCGUUAUUCUGGGAUCAAGUUCCAAAUAGUAAGCAAAUUGUACAAGAUUGGAAGACUGGAUGGAGAGUGAAGAAACCUGAGAUAGCAAGUGAACGUUUGGUGACAAGAGAUGAAAUUACAGAGCUUGUGAAAAGGUUUAUGGAUUUGAAUAGUGAUGAGAGGAAAGAGAUGAGUAAAAGGGCCAGAGAAGUUCAAGAGAUUUGUCGAGAAGCAGCUGCAGAAAAUGGAUCAUCUAUUACUAACCUUGAUGCUUUUCUCAAGGACAUUUCACGUGCGUAGCCAUUUCAAUAAAGAAACCUUAUAGAAGCCUAUGUACCCACCUUAAGGUUCUUAUAAUCAAAAUUUUAUUAAGAUGUCCAGCAUCAAGCUCCCGUAGUUGUUUUAUCCCUUUUUUUUUUUUGGGUCCUGUUUACUUUUCCUCAAACCAAAUGAAAUUAGAGUUGUAU